UUUAAACAAUUUAUUAGUUGUGGAAAAGUUGAUGACUAAAUUCUCAUAAAAAUAUAAAUACAUGAAUAUAUAUAAAGUAGUAGAUUAUUAUAAUAAUUUAAGACUGUCUAAAGUGCCAAAUAAUUGAGAGAAGGGGAGAUAAACAAAAAAUCCCUAAGUAUUUAACAGUUUUCUACCGACCUGUUUCGUACAGGAAAUAUGAAUAUCCUGGCAAGCAUGUGAACUUCUAAAUUAUGUUUUGGUUAGAUGAGUUACUGUCUUUCUGCCUGUUUACAGUGAGGUGAGCAAUGUGUAUAAUUUGUGCAUAUUUUUUACUGCAUGAAAAUAUCAGAUAAGUAAAAGCAAUUUUUCAGUAUAUAGGAAAAUAAUUUCCCAAAGCUAGAACAACAAUCGUGCAAAAUAAAUAUUUUUUAAAAAAAUGUACUGUUACAUAUACAUACGUAGGUGUGCCAACAUCUGUCUGUCUUCAGCAUAAUCUGAAGAAAUCAAAAGAACUUCAUUGUUCACCAUCUUUAUGAAUAUUUAAUAACCCCAAAGAGUCCAUUUUUAUAGGAACCUAGUAAAACAGUGAACUGCAAAUACAGUAAAUGCUUACAGAAUAUAGGAGGGAAGCUUUAGGUGGGCUUUAAGGAAACUGAUCCAAAUGUGAAGAAUGUAAUUACUGCAUGCUCAUUAUGCUUUGAAUGAAUAUUCAUCUGACCAAAACAAAAAAAAAAUCACAACAACAAAUCCAUAGUUUUUCUUUUUGUUCUUAACAAAUAAACAUUUUAGGAGUUCAGGUUCCAGAUCCUUACCUUAUUAUUUAAAACUGGAUGAGAUGACGGUGAUAAAAAUGGAACCAAGAAGCACCGUACUGUUCUUCAGUUCUGCAGUUUUGAGAAAAAACUGGAUCCUGGGAAUUUUACUGACGUUCUGAAGUACAGUAAGUUAGGAGCUGAUCUUACAGGCCUUGCAAGUCCAAGUAGUCCUUUCUCACAUGAAUAGACUCAUUUAAAUAAAUUAGACUAGUCAUGUCAGCGUUUGCAGGAUCAAGUUCUUAAUUUUGUAAAACUAGAAGCUUUAAUAUCUUCUUAAAAAUCAAAUGAUUAUGCACUUUAUUGUAACAGUUUGGUAUCCAAUUUUCUGUUCCAUUCCCAAUACUACCUUAAAAGAGAAGUUGAGUACUUAAUCACGUUACUUUUAAAGGUAGAAUGUGCCAAAGCUUAGGUUGCAGCUCGUAUGUAUUUAUGUUCCUAUAAUGCUUUUUAUUUUAAGAGAAAUAGUAGAAGUUAAUUUGUGGUGGUGAGAGGAUCGAUUCAGUACUUUCAAUACAAGUGCACUGGAAAAUAUCAAAAUUUAAUCUUCACCCAGUUUUUUAUUUUUUAUUUUUUUAUAUAUAUAUAAAAUUAAAAUUAUUUUGUUCACUUUUAUAUGGGUACCUUGCUACCCAGUAAAGAGUGCUUAGUAGUGAUUGUUGCACGAUACUUUGCAUGCAGAUUAGUUUCACUUGAGAUGUCGGUGCAAAGGAAAAAAAAUUCACUAUGAUACAUCUAUUAAUACAGUGAGCUGUUAAUUUAAUAGAUAGUAAUUCUCUUUACAUAUCCUCAGCUCAAUCUCGGCAGUCUGUGAGUUGAAUUGGUUAGGAAAUUUAAUAGUGAAAAACAGGUGACGGUUGUCGAUAAAACAUAGGGUAUGUUUCUGCCUAUUAACUACAUUUGUGAAUAUUAAUACUUUACAGUUUAAAUUCCAUUGUUCAAAUUAAAACUGAGAUGAAAAUGACUGACUUACGAGCACAGUCAGCUAUGAACUAUUUAAGUGGGUGGGACUCACCACUUUAGUUUUGUUUCAUCACCAUAUUCAAAAUGAGUAGUGUCUUAUUUGUUGGAUAUCUAUUUUCAGAUUGCAAUGAGGAUGAUUAGUUUUAAAUAUUUUUUAGAAAGUAAAUGACUUGUCUGAUUUCUCCCCCCCCGCCGCCCCCCCCGAAAUGACAAAAUUUUAGUGUUUCUGCUGUGUCAAAUGUCUCCUAACUAGCCAAUUUGAUAGCUGAUCUUUUUUAUUCUGAGUAUAUAGGAAACAAUGUUUUCUUGGUUUUGGUUUUGCCUAGCACUGAAAUGGAGACUAAGCAAGUUAGCAAAGUGGGGUGGGUGUCCGUCCAUCCAUCCAUCUGUCUGUCUCACCCUUGGUCCUAAUACUUAUACCUUUCAGUCCUUUUCUUUUUUAUAAGGUACCCCUGUUUUCUUUCAUCAGUUUUGAUUUUUAAGAGGUGCCUUCUUGCUUUGAAAGAGAGUUUUCAUACACCCCAUUGUACCUUGGCAAGCAGUCACCGUAUAGGUAUUAUCCUAGGGACAACAUUACAGUGGACAUCUGCAUAUCCAAAAUGCCCAGUUAUCCAGAAAUAUUAAUUGUGCCUAUAUACAUCACUGCCAUAAAUCUGGUGUAUCUGACCUGCAGAAAUUUCUGCCUCAGUAUUUUCUGGAGUUUAAAUUAUACCAAUUGUAGUCUCCUGCUUGCUGGUAGAAAAUGCAACAGCAAGUGACCUAACUGCUAAGCCUCAGUUUCAGUCGGUAAAAUAAAUGUAAUGGAAUGUUGUGAGUCUUAAUUAAUAUUUUGUCACGUGCUCAAAAGAUGUUAGAUACGUGAACAAGCUUCUCCCUAUUUGACUAAUUUCUGACUGGCCUGUCUUGCUCUCACGGCUGAGGACUGUAUGAAACUAGAGAGACAAUAAAUGCUCUUCUGGGUUGCUUGAAGGGUGUUGCGAGAGAGCGCUGUGUUGUUCACUCUAUUUCUCCCCCCCCUCCCUCCCACAGUAAGAUGAGAUUGCUGCCAGAUGAAGGCAUGAGGUACCUAGCCUCAAUUUCUGAUCCCCUUCAUUGCAGACGAGAUGGACUGUAUUUUAAUGUUCUUGUUUAAUGGUUGUAUAUCUUUAAAAUCAACAUAAAUAAGGGUUUUUCUUUUCAUCUGGUCUGUCCAACAGAUCUGCUUCUGUUGCUAUUGUGUAUGAAGCAAAUGUAUGAAGUGGUGACACUUCCUUUUUCAUCAUAUUUUUGUGUGGUAUUUUUAUGCAUUAGGUCAUAGAGCCCAACUCACCCUCAUAACUGCAAUUUCUUCCAAUACGAAUUCUACAUAGAGAACUCAUUGCAAACAACCUUCCUAAUAUUACUGUUCCUAAUGCCAUUACGCGUAUUAGUAUGGAUUGUGUAUAAUUCCUAAUAAGCAAAAUCCAGGCAACCAGUCUUCAGUGAUCCUGGUAUUAUAUAAAUGAUAGUACAAUGAUGAGGGAAGGGAUAGAUUUGCUGCAGCACUGUUUAAAUACUUAUCUUUGUAUUACAGUGGAUUUUGGAAUGAAAGCGGGAGUCCCCUCGCUUCCCCCCCCUCCUCCCCCCGCUGAUAGGAUGAGCACACAUUAAAGCCUUUAAUAGUCUUUGUUUUUAGGCCUAACUGGCAAAAAAAUUGAUUGCUGUUUGAUUAGUCAGUGCACUAUAAUGUAUAUCACCUGUCUAAGGUACAAUCUGUUGGAACACUUUAUAAACUCUACUUUGUUGUUUUCUAGUUCAUAUUGAAAAAGAAGUUAAAUUGUGUCCAAAGAGAGUUUUAUUUGCAGAACAAACUGAUGCAUCAUUGCGUUCAGUCCAGGCAGGGAAUGUUCUGAAAAAUUUCAAGACAGCUGUGAUCAUUUCUCAUCGCUGACUUCAUCCAAAUUUGAAAGGUAAAAUCUGAGCUGCAUGGACCCUAAAAACAAACAGAAAAAGAGAAAUAUUUGCUUCAAAUUAUGUCCUGAAACUGAGGACUCUGGAUCAUCUAAAUCGAAAUAAUUCUGGGAAAUGGCAAACACUUGAGCACUAUAGCUGUUUCUUACACAGUUAUCCCCGCGUGUUAGAUCUCCCUAGCACCAAGCCCAGUAUAUGCAGUGCGCACACACAAAAAGCUGUAGACUAUUUAAAUUUCCCAGAAAAGUAGUAUGGGGGAUGGGGGGGGGCAGGAGACCUAGCUGGUCUGAAAAUGUAGUUAACUGCAACAAGUCUACUGUGUAUGUUGGGCAAAUGAAGUGGGUUGUUUUUAUUUUUUUUUAAAUGAUUGCAGUCAUGAUACUCUUGUAUAACUACUUGCUCUCUUUUUUAGUUGCAGACUUUCUGGUAGAACAGGAUUGAAGAACAUUUAACUUUGUGUAAUAAGUGAAUGUUAAAAAUGUCUUCAUUGGAUUGUAUUGUGAUCUUCAGUACCUUAUAUCAUGUUAAAAAAAAAAUAGUCAAAAUACCAUUUGGAAUUUCACCAUUGUUGGGCUUUGAGGAGAUGUAGCAGCACAUCAUGGUUUGUAGGGACAAGGAGAUACAGACCAUUCUGGGCUGCCUCAUUACCUCAAGGAUAGACAAGAAAGGGAGCUUCUGGGUGUCAGCCGUGGAAGCUACCACAUUCUCAUAUAUCUCUUAGAUCAGUUGAACAGGUAUGUUUAGAUAUGUUUUUGUAGUGCUUUUAACAUGAACGCUUUCUUUCCAGCCUGCAAAGAUAGUCUUGGUUUUACGUCUUUGGUGAAUUUGCCUAAAAUGGCCCAGGGAUUUGCAGUAUUCUAACCUGUUGACCCGAUCACAGGCCAUGUGAUUGUUCAAUAUUUCAUCACCUUCCAAUAUCUGCAAUAGCUUCAUCUUAAUACACUCAGUCAUCUUUCAUGUUGUGUCUUCAUAGUUGGCUUAUCCCAGUUGCAUGUUGCUUGAAGUAAUCCUGCUUCCUGUUUUGUCCAACAUUCUUUCCUCUGUUUAAGACAAAUAACAAAUUAUAGGUAGUAGGACAACCAGCAGGGAUUGUAAAAAAGGGGUUCUGGAAGUCACGGAGACCUCUUUACAAUGGAAGCAUGUCAGCAGUGCUCUAGCAGCACGUAAAUACUGGAGUUUAGGAUUGCCUAGCUGCUCUCCAGUAUUGCAUUGCUGCUUUAGUGCGGCUGGAUGGUCGUGCCCACGGCAGGAACCAGUGCUGUUGCUACCAGCCUGUGGUGCCUAGGGCAACAAAACAACAACAUCGCACUGUUAAAGUCGGGGAGAUGCUGUAUGAUCAGGUUUUUAAGAGGGGUAUUAAGAGGUUUCCUGGCCUGUAGAUCUGAUUUAAGAACAUAUUAAUAUAAAGGUGUGAAAAACUGUU